rnacentral:rRNA from 1 species
UACGUAGGGUGCGAGCGUUAAUCGGAAUUACUGGGCGUAAAGCGUGCGUAGGUGGUUCGUUAAGUCUGAUGUGAAAGCCCUGGGCUCAACCUGGGAAUAGCAUUGGAAACUGGCGAUCUAGAGUGCGGUAGAGGGUAGUGGAAUUCCCGGUGUAGCAGUGAAAUGCGUAGAGAUCGUGAGGAACAUCUGUGGCGAAGGCGACUGCCUGGACCAGCACUGACACUGAGGCACGAAAGCGUGGGGAGCAAACAGG